GCCCUGGUAGCUCAGAGGAUAGAGCAACUGCCUUCUAAGCAGUGGGUCGCAGGUUCGAUUCCUGCCCGGGGCGCCA
rnacentral:tRNA from 1 species